AACCAGCUCUUCAAGUGGUCGGGAUAAUUAUUGGGCUUAAAGUGUCCGUAGCCGGUUUAGUAAGUUCCUGGUAAAAUCAGGUAGCCUAACUAUCUGCAUGCUAGGAAUACUGCUAUACUAGAGGGCGGGAGAGGUCUGAGGUACUACAGGGGUAGGGGUGAAAUCUUAUAAUCCUUGUAGGACCACCAGUGGCGAAGGCGUCAGACUGGAACGCGCCUGACGGUGAGGGACGAAAGCCAGGGGAGCGAACCGGAUUAGAUACCCGGGUAGUCCUGGCCGUAAACGAUGCAUACUAGGUGAUGGCACGGCCAUGAGCCGUGUCAGUGCCGUAGGGAAACCGUUAAGUGUGCCGCCUGGGAAGUACGGUCGCAAGGCUGAAACUUAAAGGAAUUGGCGGGGGAGCACCACAAGGCGUGAAGCUUGCGGUUC
rnacentral:rRNA from 1 species